rnacentral:rRNA from 1 species
UACGUAGGCAGCGAGCGUUGUUCGGAAUUACUGGGCGUAAAGAGUGUGUAGGCGGUGCUCUAAGUUCGGUGUGAAAUCUCCUGCUUAACUGGGAGGGUGCGCCGGAAACUGGAGUGCUCGAGCGUGGGAGAGGAAAGCGGAAUCCUGGUGUAGCGGUGAAAUGCGUAGAUAUCAGGAGGAACACCAUGGCGAAGGCAGAUCUCUGGGCCGUAACUGACGCUGAGGAGCGAAAGCAUGGGGAGCGAACAGG